UUUUUAAACUUCCGUUACCUCCCUCCUCUGAACCACCACCUCCGUCACCCGUCGUCAUCCAUGACCUCUCAAUUCAAACCCGUCGCAUUUCAUAGCUUAUCCACCUCAAUUCAAUCGAUUAUACUCGUUUCAUCCUUGAUCAAACCCCUUCUCCCACUGAUUUCUCUUGGAACUCCUUUAUUAGAGCCGGCACCCUCCAAGGCUCUCCACAAAAUUCCCUGGCUCUCUAUCUCUGAAUGAUUCGGAACAGCGCUAAACCGAGUAAUGUUACAUACCCUUUUGUCCUAAAAUCUUGUUCCACCCUUAGUUCGGUGCUUGAAGGUGAACACAUUCAUACCCAUGUUCUAAGAUUGGGUUUUGGAUCUGAUUUGUUUGUGUGAUUCUUUAAUAGAGAUGUGUUGUAAGUGUUUUUGUCUUGAUUCUUCUCGGAAUUUGCGGGUUGGUAUGGAGGUUAGAGAUGAGGUUUCUUGGAAUUCGAUCAUUUCAGGGUAUGUGCACUGAGGGGAGGUUGAGGAGCGCGGGAGUUGUUUGAAGAAAUGCCAAUGAGAAGGAAUGUGGUUUGCCGGACUGCAAUGAUAAAUGUGUAUGGGAAAGAUAGGGAUUUUGUGGAGAUGUUGAGUUUUUUUUCCGAAUGGUUGUUUCGGCUGAUGAGGUCCAACUCAAUGCGGCAACAAUGGUGUGUCUACUGUCUGCCUACUCUCUGUAAUUAUGGAGUUGGAAGGUUCCUUUUGGUUUUUAUCGAUGUUAAUAAGAUCCCUUUGAAUGCAAUCUUGGUUACUGCUCUCAUAGACAUGUAUUCUAAGUGCGGGGAUGUGGAGAAUGCUUGGAGAAUCUUUGGUGGUGUUUCUUGUAAGAAGCUGCCUCCUUGGAAUGGAUAUGUGCAGCGUGGACUUUUUGAGGAAGCAAUUGAUUUAUACUAUCUCACAAAAGCAGUCUAUGAAAUGUAAUGAAAUCACACUGGUGAAUGUGUUGUCUGCUUGUGCUGGCUUAGGGGCACUGUAACUUGGGAGAGAAGUUCAUCUGUACCUGGGUCUAAACAGCUUAGAGCUAAAUGUGAUUCUUGUACUGUUGUGGUUGAUAUGUAAGCAAAACCUGGUUUAAAUCGAUGUUGCUUGUUUGGUUUUUGUCAAGACAAGUGAGAAAAAUGUAGCCUUGAGGAAUGCCAUGAUACUGGUACUGGCUUACCAUGGUGAUGGAAGUGACUCUUUCUUUAGUGGUUUUUUAACAGAUGGAGAGGACUGGUGUGCAGCCCAAUGAUGUCACAUUUAUUGGAGUUUUAUCAGCUUGUAACCACUCAGGAUUAGUAGAAGAAUGAAUGGUUCAAUUUUCUAGUAUGGCCGAUAAACAUGGAUUGUCUCCUAAACUUGAGCAUUUUGCUUGUAUGGUAGAUCUCCUUGGCCAGGCUAGGCAUGUCAAAGAAGCAUAUGAAUUGGCCCAUAACACGAUAAUUCCACCUUAUUCGAUAAUCUGGGGUACUUUACUAAGUGCUGGCUGCAUCCAUCGGAAUCUUGAACCGGCUAAUACAAUCAGUGGAACAGUAACGGCAUUGCAGGAUCCCAAAUCUGGGUUUAUGCAUUCUGUUGUUGAGCAUUUAUGCUUCUGCAGGAAGGUGGAAGGAUGAGGAGACAGGUAAAAGGGAAAAGGAUCAAAAGGCCUUUUGGUUGUAGUUGGGUUGAAGUUGAUGGUGCUGUUCACAGAUUUGUAAUUGAAGAUACAACUCAUAUGAAAUCUAUGAGGUCUAGCUCAAUGCGGCAACAAUGGUGGAGAUGUAGAGUUUGUUUUCGGGAUGCUUGUUUCGGCUGAUGAGGUCUAGCUCAAUGCGGCAACAAUGGGAUGUGGAGAAAGCUUGGAGAAUCUCUGAUGGUAUUUCUUGUAAGAAGCUGCCUCCUUGGAAUGCCAUCAUUACUUGAGAGUUUCCUUGUAUGAUAUAGUCUAGGAUGCAAAGCCUAUUUUUCACUUGCAACUGUCAUUUAGUGAUCGGGUCUCAUUUAAAGAAUUACUGGAUCUGUAAGGUAUAUAUCUCAAGAUAUUAGUAGGGAAGACAUUUGAGAGAGCUGAUUUGGUUGCUUCCACAGCCAAUGCCCAUGUAGAAGUAACCAAGGAGUUUUGGCAACCCGCUCUCAUGUAUCAUAUUAAGAAUGUUAUUGCAUUCAACGACACCAGGGAAAGGUUUAUUGUGAUUUAGUGCUUGCAUUUCACUUGGACGUUUUCAGCUUUGAGCUGAUAUCUCUGUUGAACAGAUUAGGAGCUGUGUGUGUCAAGGGGUUAUAUCUUGUUUCUCUCUUCACUUUGGGGAAAGGGGUUUUGGGUAAGGGUUAAAAGCAACUUGGUUGGGUUUCUGCUGUAACAUUUUCUGGUGGCCCAUCUCUACGUUUAGCUUGUGAUGUUGUGAGUAUUCUGAUAAAAAUUGUGACGUGUUAUGAUCUUGGAGAUAGCCCAUAAAUUGUAGUUGGAAGUGAUGAUGGUUCACUCAUUUUGGUGUCCCUUCUUUUAUUGAAUAUCAAUAAUAAUUUGUUAUCAC